GAAAUGCGAUAAGUAAUGUGAAUUGCAGAAUGCAGGGAAUCAUCGAAUCUUUGAACGCACCGUGCGCUCCUUGGUAUUCCUUGGAGCAUGCCUGUUUGAGUAUCAUGAAAUCUUCAAAGUAAAUCUUUUGUUAACUCAAUUGGUUUCUACUUUGGUAUUGGAGGUCUUUGCAGCUUCACACCUGCUCCUCUUUGUUCAUUAGCUGGAUCUCAGUGUUAUGCUUGGUUCCACUCGGCGUGAUAAGUUAUCUAUCGCUGAGGACACUGUAAAAGGUGGCCAAGGUAAAUGCAGAUGAACCGCUUCUAAUAGUCCAUUGACUUGGACAAUACUUUUAUGAUCUGAUCUCAAAUCAGGUAGGACUACCCGCUGAACUUAAGC
rnacentral:misc_RNA from 1 species